rnacentral:lncRNA from 1 species
UAUGAUUGUACCAUGAGUGCGUCCUGAGUGCGUCAUGAUUGCGUCAUAAGUUGAUAUGCAUUCAGUACAAUUCACACUUCAAAAUCACUAUCUCAAAAUUUACUUUAAAAUAGAAAACGUCAUUGAAAAAUAAAUAAAUGCAAUAAAAUAAUAUCCACAAUAAUUCUUCAUAUUCAUGAGGAUCGACAUAGAUUUCAUUACUUGAACAAAUUUUGUAAUUUAUAAUAAAAGAUUUCUAAAAUUAAAAUAAAUCAGUAUGAUUGUACCAUGAGUGCGUCCUGAGUGCGUCAUGAUUGCGUCAUAAGUUGAUAUGCAUUCAGUACAAUUCACACUUCAAAAUCACUAUCUCAAAAUUUACUUUAAAAUAGAAAACGUCAUUGAAAAAUAAAUAAAUGCAAUAAAAUAAUAUCCACAAUAAUUCUUCAUAUUCAUGAGGAUCAGCAUAGAUUUAAUUACCUGAACAAAUUUUGUAACUUAAAAUAGAAGACAAGAAUAAAAUGGAAGACUACUAAAAAAGCUUUGGUCAUUUAGCUCUGGUUUGCUGUCAAACUAUACUGUCUAUAGCCUAAGUUUGAAUUCCCUGAAUUACAAGAUUUGUCGACAGGCUUUCUUAAAGUAUUUUUGACAGUGUUUUAGGAUUUGUUAUCGACAGGGGGCACGACGUACGCGCGUUACGCGAUAAGUUUUCUUGUUUCCGUCGCGUGCCUCCGUCCGUUACGUACGCGCCCGAACGGCUGACCGACCGGUCUUCUGUUUCCUUCUCGUUCGACCUCGAAAGGAAUCGCGGCGUAAAGCGUAAGAUUUCUCCUUCCUCGUCGCGCGUGCCACGCUCGUGUUUCUUCGUUCGAAUCGUUUUCUCCUACGAACGUCCUUUUCGUUUGCUUCGGAUGCCAGUGCCGAUAAUCUCUGUCCGAAUACCUCUAACGACAGUUGCAUUUGUUUAUGGUCAUCUCGACAAAUCGAUUUCGUAAAUUCGAUUAUGAAGAUUUAAAAAAAUUUGAAAAUGAAAUUUUUACAAGUACAGCACUUUCAGUAAACUUCAUCACGAAUAUUCUAUUUUAUCGUCAGGUAUUUUUCGACAGAAUUACUUCAUGUUUAAUGACGUCAAUUUCGGAAGAUAUUUGACAGAUGCAUAUGUAAACAAAAUGGCGGCAAAACAAGUGCGUCUAUACGCAGCUAGAGUUUUCGAAAACAUGUUUAGUGUCAAAAACGUAAAAUAGUAAAUAUAUUUAUGCUAAACAAGUUGCGUGAAAUAAAUAAUAGUAAAUAUUGUGAGUUAAAAAUCUCAGUAGCAGUUUAUUUAUAACUGUUGCUUCUGUCCCCCACCACGACGCGGAUAACCGUUUUACGGGACUCGCAAGUAAGCGAAAAGUUUCGUCGGCGUUGCCAGCUUGCGUUUCCAGCUAUCCGAUGAAACGACGCGUUACAGUUUUUCGUACAGCUCGUACAACGGGAGUUUCCAGUUUCUCCGUGAAUAGGAAACCGUGUAUCUUUCACCAACGAAAAUGCGUUAACUAGCAUUUAAUUUUCGCGGUGUAGAAAUAAGAUGGACGAAGCUUCUAGAAAAUUCGAUGCCUGAAUUUCUGUUUAUUUUUAGGUCCUGUAAACCCUUCUGACAUCCGAGGUCCAGAAACUUUAAAGCAAAAAAAGCAAAAUGAAAAAGCACUGGAAUUUGAAGAGAGAGGAUUGGCGGGAUUCUGCGGCGAAUAUUUUUUAAUAUUUUUACCUGUUGCUAUUUUCGAGCUUUCCCGACCUAUCGCAACGACUUCGAUAUAAAGCCGGCGUUGAACGUGAAAAUGUCGCGUGGGCGUAUCUCCGGGCGUCGGGGCGCCGGGCGUCGCUACUGGGUACACCGGCCACGGAGUUUCCAUGGCGAUCACUCACCAGCUGACCAUGAUUUCAACCUGACGUCAUAGCUUUCGAAAGGACAACCACGCGCCGCCGACGUGUUAUCGGUUAACGAGUUUACCUCCUCCCCUCUCUAACCAUUUUUCACCGUUACGUCAGAGCAAGAAAAUCAUCGCGUCAAAAUAACGAGUGCGUGGGUGCGGCUACCUGACGCGGUUUUUACGGAAUCAAAAUUUACGUUUUAACGCUAAAUUGACGCAUAUAUUAUAGUAAAGAUGGAGGUAGAGAUAGGUAAGGUAAAUGGACGUUCUUAGUGAACUGAAAUAUACAGUCAUUCUUUUAAUUUAUAUUGUAAAUAAAUUACACAAGGUAUAAGAUAGAAAUAUUAUA